UACAGAGGGUGCAAGCGUUAAUCGGAAUUACUGGGCGUAAAGCGCACGCAGGCGGUUGGUUAAGUCAGAUGUGAAAGCCCCGGGCUCAACCUGGGAAUUGCAUUUGAAACUGGCCAACUAGAGUACGUGAGAGGGGGGUAGAAUUCCAAGUGUAGCGGUGAAAUGCGUAGAGAUUUGGAGGAAUACCAGUGGCGAAGGCGGCCCCCUGGCACGAUACUGACGCUCGGGUGCGAAAGCGUGGGGAGCAAACAGG
rnacentral:rRNA from 1 species